UACGUAGGGUGCGAGCGUUAAUCGGAAUUACUGGGCGUAAAGCGUGCGCAGGCGGUGCGUUAAGACAGGUGUGAAAGCCCCGAGCUUAACUUGGGAAUUGCGCUUGUGACUGGCGUGCUGGAGUGUGGCAGAGGGAGGUGGAAUUCCACGUGUAGCAGUGAAAUGACGUAGAGAUGUGGAGGAACACCGAUGGCGAAGGCAGCCUCCUGGGCCAGCACUGACGCUCAUGCACGAAAGCGUGGGGAGCAAACAGG
rnacentral:rRNA from 1 species